rnacentral:tRNA from 1 species
UGGUAGAGCAGUUGACUUUUAAUCAAUUGGUCGCAGGUUCGAAUCCUGCACGACC